ACUCAAAUGAAUUGACGGGGGCCCGCACAAGCAGUGGAGUAUGUGGUUUAAUUCGAAGCAACGCGAAGAACCUUACCAGGUCUUGACAUCGUGUGAACACCUGAGAGAUUAGGAUUCCCUUCGGGGCACAUAGACAGGUGGUGCAUGGUUGUCGUCAGCUCGUGUCGUGAGAUGUUGGGUUAAGUCCCGCAACGAGCGCAACCCUUACAAAUAGUUGCUACGCAAGAGCACUCUAUUAGGACUGCCGUUGAUAAAACGGAGGAAGGUGGGGAUGACGUCAAAUCAUCAUGCCCCUUAUGACCUGGGCUACACACGUACUACAAUGGCCGCCAACAAAGUGAAGCAAAUCCGCGAGGAGGAGCAAACCACAAAAAGCGGUCUCAGUUCGGAUCGCAGGCUGCAACCCGCCUGCGUGAAGUCGGAAUUGCUAGUAAUCGCGGAUCAGCAUGCCGCGGUGAAUACGUUCCCGGGCCUUGCACACACCGCCCGU
rnacentral:rRNA from 1 species